rnacentral:rRNA from 1 species
ACAGAGGGUGCGAGCGUUGUCCGGAAUCACUGGGCGUAAAGGGCGCGUAGGCGGCCUGGCAAGUCGAUGGUGAAAGCUCGUGGCUCAACUGUGAGUCGGCCAUCGAUACUGCGAGGCUCGAGUCUGGUAGAGGCAGAUGGAAUUCCGGGUGUAGCGGUGGAAUGCGUAGAGAUCCGGAAGAACACCGGUGGCGAAGGCGGUCUGCUGGGCCAGAACUGACGCUGAGGCGCGACAGCGUGGGGAGCAAACAGGA